rnacentral:rRNA from 1 species
GGCCCGCACAAGCGGUGGAGUAUGUGGUUUAAUUCGAUGCAACGCGAAGAACCUUACCAGGGUUUGACAUCCUGCGAAUUUCUGGGAAACCGGAAAGUGCCUUCGGGAGCGCAGUGACAGGUGGUGCAUGGCUGUCGUCAGCUCGUGUCGUGAGAUGUUGGGUUGAGUCCCGCAACGAGCGCAACCCCACGUCUUUAGUUGCCAGCAUUUUAGUUGGGCACUCUAGAGAGACUGCCGGUGAUAAACCGGAGAAGGUGUGGAUGACGUCAAGUCAUCAUGCCCCUUACAUCUGGGCUACACACGUACUACAAUGCUACGGACAAAGGGCUGCAAGUUCGCGAGGACAAGCAAAUCCCAUAAACGUGGCUCAGUUCAGA